rnacentral:rRNA from 1 species
UGAGUACGAGAUGCUACGGCAUCGAAGCAGUCUAUGUCAUACUUCCAAGAAAAGCUUGCAAUGUCAUAAACAAAUAAUGCCUGUACCAUAACCGACACAGGUGGGUAGGUAGAGUAUACUAAGGGGCGCGAGAUAACUCUCUCUAAGGAACUCGGCAAAAUGACUCCGUAACUUCGGGAGAAGGAGUGCCUUAUUUUUAUAAGGUUGCAAUAACAAGAUCCAAGCAACUGUUUACCAAAAACACAGGUCUCCGCUAAGUCGUAAGACGAUGUAUGGGGGCUGACGCCUGCCCAGUGCCAGAAGGUUAAAGAAGUUGGUUAGCAUUAGCGAAGCUGAUAACUGAAGCCCUGGUGAACGGCGGCCGUAACAAUAACGGUCCUAAGGUAGCGAAAUUCCUUGUCGGGUAAGUUCCGACCCGCACGAAAGGCGUAAUGAUUUGGAUACUGUCUCGGAGAGGGGCUCGGUGAAAUAGACUUGUCUGUGAAGAUGCGGACUACCUGCACCUGGACAGAAAGACCCUAUGAAGCUUUACUGUAACUUGAGAUUGAAAUUGGACUUUAUCUGCGCAGUAUAGGUGGGAGACUUUGAAAAUAUUCUUGCGGGAAUAUUGGAGUCAUCAGUGAGAUACCACUCUUAUAAUGUUAGAUUUCUAACUUUGUAUCAUUAUCUGGUCAAAGAACAGUUUCAGGCGGGCAGUUUGACUGGGGCGGUCGCCUCCCAAACGGUAACGGAGGCGCACAAAGGUUUCCUCUGAACGUGUAGAAAUCGUAUCUAGAGUGUAAAGGCAUAAGGAAGCUUGACUGUGAGACCUACAAGUCGAGCAGGGACGAAAGUCGGUCUUAGUGAUCUGACGGUGCUGAGUGGAAAGGCCGUCACUCAACGGAUAAAAGUUACUCUAAGGAUAACAGGCUGAUCUCCCCCAAGAGUUCACAUCGACGGGGAGGUUUGGCACCUCGAUGUCGGCUCAUCGCAUCCUGGGGCGGUAGUACGUCCCAAGGGUUGGGCUGUUCGCCCAUGAAAGCGGUACGCGAGCUGGGUUCAGAACGUCGUGAGACAGUUCGGUCCAUAUCCGGUGUAGGCGUUAGAAUAUUGAGAGGAGCCUUCUUUAGUACGAGAGGACCGAGAAGGACAUACCUCUGGUGUACCAGUUAUCGUGCCAACGGUAAACGCUGGGUAGCCAUGUAUGGAGAGGAUAACCGCUGAAAGCAUCUAAGUGGGAAGCCCACCUCAAGAUAAG